UACGUAGGGUGCAAGCGUUAAUCGGAAUUACUGGGCGUAAAGCGUGCGCAGGCGGUUAUGUAAGACAGAUGUGAAAUCCCCGGGCUUAACCUGGGAACUGCAUUUGUGACUGGCAGGCUAGAGUAUGGCAGAGGGGGGUAGAAUUCCACGUGUAGCAGUGAAAUGCGUAGAGAUGUGGAGGAAUACCGAUGGCGAAGGCAGCCCCCUGGGCCAAUACUGACGCUCAUGCACGAAAGCGUGGGGAGCAAACAGG
rnacentral:rRNA from 1 species